rnacentral:rRNA from 1 species
UGAGGAAUAUUGGUCAAUGGGCGGAAGCCUGAACCAGCCAUGCCGCGUGCAGGACGACGGCCCUACGGGUUGUAAACUGCUUUUCCGGGGGAAGAAUAACCCCCCUGCGGGGGGGGAUGCCGGUACCCCGGGAAUAAGGAUCGGCUAACUCCGUGCCAGCAGCCGCGGUAAUACGGAGGAUCCUAGCGUUAUCCGGAUUUACUGGGUUUAAAGGGUGCGUAGGCGGACCCCUAAGUCCGCGGUGAAAGUCUGCGGCUCAACCGUAGGAUUGCCGUGGAUACUGGGGGUCUUGGAUUCGGUCGGGGCGGGCGGAAUGCGUGGUGUAGCGGUGAAAUGCAUAGAUAUCACGCAGAACGCCGAUAGCGAAGGCAGCUCGCCGGGCCGACAUCGACGCUGAGGC